rnacentral:rRNA from 1 species
AGUGAACGCUAGCGGUAGGCCUAACACACGCAAGUCGAACGGCAGCACAGGAGAGCUUGCUCUCUGGGUGGCGAGUGGCGGACGGGUGAGGAAUACAUCGGAAUCUACUCUGUCGUGGGGGAUAACGUAGGGAAACUUACGCUAAUACCGCAUACGACCUACGGGUGAAAGCAGGGGAUCUUCGGACCUUGCGCGAUUGAAUGAGCCGAUGUCGGAUUAGCUAGUUGGCGGGGUAAAGGCCCACCAAGGCGACGAUCCGUAGCUGGUCUGAGAGGAUGAUCAGCCACACUGGAACUGAGACACGGUCCAGACUCCUACGGGAGGCAGCAGUGGGGAAUAUUGGACAAUGGGCGCAAGCCUGAUCCAGCCAUACCGCGUGGGUGAAGAAGGCCUUCGGGUUGUAAGGCCCUUUUGUUGGGAAAGAAAUCCAGCUGGUUAAUACCCGGUUGGGAUGACGGUACCCAAAGAAUAAGCACCGGCUAACUUCGUGCCAGCCGCCGCCGUAA